rnacentral:rRNA from 1 species
UACGUAGGGUGCGAGCGUUAAUCGGAAUUACUGGGCGUAAAGCGUGCGCAGGCGGUGAUGUAAGACAGAUGUGAAAUCCCCGGGCUUAACCUGGGAACUGCAUUUGUGACUGCAUUGCUAGAGUACGGUAGAGGGGGAUGGAAUUCCGCGUGUAGCAGUGAAAUGCGUAGAUAUGCGGAGGAACACCGAUGGCGAAGGCAAUCCCCUGGACCUGUACUGACGCUCAUGCACGAAAGCGUGGGGAGCAAACAGG